UACGUAGGGUGCAAGCGUUAAUCGGAAUUACUGGGCGUAAAGCGUGCGCAGGCGGUGAUGUAAGACAGGUGUGAAAUCCCCGGGCUUAACCUGGGAACUGCAUUUGUGACUGCAUCGCUGGAGUGCGGCAGAGGGGGGAUGGAAUUCCGCGUGUAGCAGUGAAAUGCGUAGAUAUGCGGAGGAACACCGAUGGCGAAGGCAAUCCCCUGGGCCUGUACUGACGCUCAUGCACGAAAGCGUGGGGAGCAAACAGG
rnacentral:rRNA from 1 species